rnacentral:lncRNA from 1 species
GUGCCUUUGGAAACGUUAAUCACGAAAUGCAAAGAACUGCAAAUAUCUCUCUCAAGCUUACUGAAAAUACGUUCCGUUCUCCAGGGAUAAUUCCAUGCACACAGCUCCAGAAUACAGAUUUCAGGUUUUUACAUCUACUAUAACAUUCAUUGCCAAUCCGAUCCGUUUUCCAAGAAUGAUGGCACCCCAGAAUACAGAAUUCUGUUUUUUGUGUAAAUAUUAUAUCCAAGUGGAUAAGAUCACGCGAUUAUUUUUCUAUUGUUCUGAGAUUACCCUAUAUCGAAUGACUCUUUCUUAUCAUAACAAAAUUAAAUUAGUUAACGCUUAAAAAUGAUGUUGCUAUCAAUCGAC